GAGUUUGAUCCUGGUUCAGAAUGAACGCUGGCGGCGUGCCUAACACAUGCAAGUCGUACGAGAAAGGGGCUUCGGCCCUGAGUAGAGUGGCGCACGGGUGAGUAACGCGUGGGUAAUCUACCCUUGGAUUUGGGAUAACUUCGCGAAAGCGGAGCUAAUACCGGAUAGUCUGGCUUUAAUUAAGAAGUCGGUAAAGGAUGCCUCUGCAUAUGCAUUCGUCCGAGGAUGAGCCCGCGUCUCAUUAGCUAGUUGGUAGGGUAAUGGCUUACCAAGGCAACGAUGAGUAGCUGGUCUGAGAGGAUGAUCAGCCACACUGGAACUGAAACACGGUCCAGACUCCUACGGGAGGCAGCAGUGGGGAAUAUUGCGCAAUGGGCGAAAGCCUGACGCAGCAACGCCGUGUGAGGGAUGAAGGCUUUCGGGUCGUAAACCUCUGUCGGAAGGGAAGAACGGGCAUUGGUCUAAUAGGCCUUUGUUUUGACGGUACCUUUAGAGGAAGCACCGGCUAACUCCGUGCCAGCAGCCGCGGUAGUACGGAGGGUGCAAGCGUUAUUCGGAAUUACUGGGCGUAAAGCGCACGUAGGCGGCUUC
rnacentral:rRNA from 1 species